GUUCUGAAACGCUGCACGCUCGAAAUUCCUCCAAGGAACCUCUGCGAGCUUUUCUUUUUUCAUCACGCGCGAGCUAAAAAUAGAAACGGGGUUGGAUCGUGAUCCAGAAAUAGAUAGGGGGCAUCACUCCUAUAAAAGGCACCAUUCAAGAGUACAGUGUGUGCACAGGUUCAAGAAGCGAAACGCCGGCGCACGUUUGUGGGGAAACAGCUUUUAUUGUCCGUUUGUUUCCGAGACUUCCCGUGUUUUCAAGGAGGCUCCGCUGCUUCACGGGUCCGCUCACUGUGCGCUGGGAGGCGGCAGCACUGGAAGCACACGGAGCUCAGGAGGUGGAGGGGAGGAAACAGGGGUUAAAGGGAAGUAAACAAGAGUCUGUCGUGCUCAGCACAAGCACUGCUGUGAACGUGACCCCCUCCCACUAACAGCUGGUAUUAUCAAUCACCACAGGCCACUGGAAAAUAAAUGCAGCGCUCACUAGUUCAGGCUCAGCAGUGAAACAAGGAGGAGGCGUCACAUCCUCAACGUAGCUGAAACAAAUAAAUAUAUGAGUGGAAUGUGCAGACGCUUCAGAGGCAGAGGCCUCUGUAACGCUGAUCCUCCUGCUCUGCCGCCUUUCAUUAAACACCAUUCAGCACCAGACUGUGUGCAGAUUAUUGGACCCGAUCAUCCACUCCGCAUUAUGACGUCUUUAAAACAGCUUUUGAACUUUUCUCAGUUCAUACAAAUGUUUCUUCUGAAAAUCUGCCACUGACAUAAACGUUCCACUCAUGGGUCUGAACCGUAACCCUGGGGUCCACGGGGACGUCCCCGAGCAGGAGUCCCCCCUUGGCUGCGGUGGAGACACGCGGCAGCAGCGCGUGGAGCAGGUGGUGAGAGCGAGAGCUGGUUUCUCCUCACUGCUGAAAAUUAACUAGAUCACCUGUCUGAAGGAGAAGGUGCAAGUUACACAAUAGGCAGGAGACACGCAGGUAGAGGCCUGGCUCUGCACGUCGCCCGUUUCCAGCUUCUGGCUUUGGAAAAUGUGGGAAAAUACUGUUUUCCAAAAAUAAUAGUUUUGGAAACACACACAGUUUACAUUCGUAUAGUAAAAAAGAUUUUUGUUUUUGGGGGUUUAAAUUUUAGAUAAGUCUUUGCACUUGGAUCAAGUGUGUGUGUGUGUGUGUGUGUGUGUGUGUGUGUGUGUGUGUGUGUGUAAGAGAGAGAGAGAGAGAAAGAGACAGACAACAUAAUCAAUACAAAUGUUCCUGUGGUUAUUGGUAAAACACAGCCUAAUAAUUAUUAUUAAUAAUAAUAAUAAUAAUAAUAAUAAUAAUAAUAAUAAUAAUAAUAAUAAUAAUAAUAAUAAUAAUAAUAAUAAUAAUCAUUGAUACAGUAGAGGCUCAAUCCACAUGAUACUUUUGCUUCAGAGUCUGAAGCACAAAUGUCGCCCAGCGCCGCUCACGCCAACAUGAUCUGCUGCUCAAAGGCACAAACGCUUUACCUGAAAUCCUCCAGCUUUAGAUGGAAACCAGCUCAUGAAGCCUGAGACAUUUUCACUAACAUUAAUUAAACGUGAAGCUGCUCCCAUUUUUCCUCUGCAACAGUUUGGAGCUUCACAAUCACAGAUCAGCAUUCACUGCUCUGUGUUUGUCAGAAGGUCCUGUUUCUGUCCUGAGAGGACAAAGAGCCGUGUGCACAAACCACCGCCACCUCAGACAUAGUGUGUGUGUGUGUGUGUGUGUGUGUGUGUGUGUGUGUCCUGUUCUAUAGUUUGUUUUAUUUCAUAAGAAUUCUAAAAUGUAAAUGUGCUGUAUUUAAAUUUGAUCUUAUUCUAUCUCGUUUUGUUAAAUUCGUGAGAAGCCUGUGAUUCUAACGUCAACAUGAAGACUGCCAAACAAAAGGCAAAGUGUGGUUUAAAAAUGAAUCUUAGGGUUUUGUCUGAAAAUGGUGGAAUGUUUUAAUGGUGAUAAUAGUAACAAUAAAUAUGGAAUUUAACCGUGUGUGUAUGUGUGUGUGUUCUUUCUGGACGUAGAGGUGUGUGUUUCAGCUUUAAUGUUUUUUUUUACAUUUGUAAAGCAGCUCAGAUUUUUUAUUCAAUAAAAUCAAAGUCAAA